CAGCUUUUGACAUGUCCCGUAUGGGUUUCAGAAAUGAGAUCCUUCAGUUCGGCUGGCGGGAACACAGGUGCUGCAUGGCUGUCGUCAGCUCGUGUCGUGAGAUGUUGGGUUAAGUCCCGCAACGAGCGCAACCCUCGCCCUUAGUUGCCAUCAUUCAGUUGGGCACUCUAAGGGGACUGCCGGUGAUAAGCCGCGAGGAAGGUGGGGAUGACGUCAAGUCCUCAUGGCCCUUACAGGCUGGGCUACACACGUGCUACAAUGGCGGUGACAGUGGGAUGCAAUGGAGCAAUCCUGCGCAAAUCUCAAAAAGCCGUCUCAGUUCGGAUUGCACUCUGCAACUCGAGUGCAUGAAGUUGGAAUCGCUAGUAAUCGCAGAUCAGCACGCUGCGGUGAAUACGUUCCC
rnacentral:rRNA from 1 species